GGGGGGGGCAAGCGUUUGUUCGGAUUUACUGGGCGUAAAGGGCUCGUAGGCGGCCACCUAAGUCGAUUGUGAAAUCCCUCGGCUCAACCGGGGAACUGCGACCGAUACUGGGUGGCUUGAAGCCGGGAGAGGGAUGCGGAAUUCCAGGUGUAGCGGUGAAACGCGUAGAUAUCUGGAGGAACACCCGUGGCGAAGGCGGCAUCCUGGACCGGCCUUGACGCUGAGGAGCGAAAGCUAGGGGAGCGAACGGGAUUAGAUACCCCGGUAGUCCUAGCCCUAAACGAUGAAUGCUUGGUGUGGCGGGUAUCGAUCCCCUGCCCGUGCCGUAGCUAACGCGUUAAGCAUUCCGCCUGGGGAGUACGGUCGCAAGGCUG
rnacentral:rRNA from 1 species